GAUUUUACAUGUACGGAUAUAUCAGAUGAAGCUAAGAUGGCGGCUCAACAACUUAUUAAAUGUGCACGAGAGAGGAAGAAGAUAUCGAGCGAUUAUAAACUAGUAUUUGAAAGUCAGAUGUUCACGCCUUUAUGUAAAAAAGAUAUCUGUGUCGGUGAUAAAUUGUUUUGUGUGGUGCAAUCGUGGUUUCAGUGGAGCAAUAUUCAGACAGCUGGAGAGUUAAGACAACCUAACUGUAAUGGUAAAUGUAAUACUGAUGAUAUAUCGAAUUCUAAAAUUCUUCCAUUAUAUGAAGACAUAAGUAAAAC